CAAACCCGGUAAUGGAGGAGGAGGAGACAGUAAGUUGCAUCGAAUGUUUUUGUGACUGGAAUAAAAGCAAGUGAAGAAUUACUUCUACGACUAGUCAGUAAGAGAAAUCUUCGCGGAUCACCAUCAUAGUUUCUCAAAAUCAUUAACGAUUUAUAGAGUUGAAACAAAAGAAAUUAUAAUCGUGGCGCUUUUUUGGAGUAUCUGAUCUCAAUUAGCAUAGAUUUUUUCUGAGAUUCGAUUGACGAGAUACAUAAAACGUUCACGACAUGCACUGGGCUUGUUUCACCACAUUUCUAGCGCCUCGAAGUUCGUCACAACACUCCGCCUAGCAUAGUAUUUUCUGCUUUCUCCUUGGGGAUUAAAAAAUGUGGUCAAACACCGUCUUUAGUAUUUGAUAUACUAUUUCUUCAGCACCAGGAAGCAAACGCUAAGGACAAAGAUUAGAGAUUAGCAAUAAAAACUCCGAUUUUUAUACAAUUAGCAAUUCUGCGAUAGUUCUAAUGAAAACAAAGUUGCAAAUCGUUUAUUUCGAAGCGGUCUAAUGCCAUCAAUUAUUUUCACGAAACUACCUUAUUAAACGCUUAAAACUGAGAGAUUGACCACGUUUGUUUGUUUUCAUUGUAGCUUGUCAGCAUAAAAAUGCGAACUGUAAACAUUGACAAGUUAUUGCAGCCACCGCUCGUACGUAAAAGCUAAUUGCGAGAAAACAUGCAACCUGUGCUGAAGAUCGCCUGCCACAGAAGCAGAAGAAACUUUGAUCGCUUUAUGUAACCGUCAGGGAAAAUAAAUGAAUGUUAAUAAACGCAUCAAAAAUGAAAUUCGUACAGUUGCUUCAAUUUAGCCAAGUCAUCUCCAAAAGGCUCACAUGCGUCUUCCGAUCAAAAAUGGCAGAAGACUCUGGUCAAAAGUGAGAGCCGUAAUCUGGAACUAAAUCAAUAUUCGUUUAACAUGCGUGGUAACUGAACAAACUAGCCACUCUGAAAAAAAUUCUUUAUUGUUCACCUCGCUUUGUUUUUUUCCCCAUCAUAUGAAUACUGCCGGAAUAAGUUCCUUCUCGGAGAAAAGGCAACAUCGAUGACCGCAAUGCAAAUAAACAGUGUAAAAUAUUUACAUCUUAUAUAACAAUUUCUUCCACCUUGUACUUUUUACAAACAAACAAAAUCAAAUUGCUGUUUGUCGAUUUCUCUUGUAACUCACACCACUCAGGCUUAGUGUUUGACUCCACGCCUUCGCGGUCGUUCACGGUUACUCCAGGCCUUCGCGGUCGUUCACCGUCAUUUUGAAGCUUGCUGCUAAAAUACAGUGUGUUUUUAUCCACCAGCGGUAGCAAAUCUUGGUACCCUAGACCCCUGCCUGCUGAGCACAGUGACCU